GUAAACUAUGCAAACUCAGUGAUGCAUUGGCUUGUGGCCAAUGCAGUGCUGGCAGGGAAGCCGUUAAAGUUUGCCGCCUGGGAAGUACGUACGCAAGUAUGAAACUUAAAGGAAUUGGCGGGGGAGCACCACAAGGGGUGAAGCCUAGCGGUUCAAUUGGAGUCAACGCCAGAAAUCUUACCCGGAGAGACAGCAGAAUGAAGGUCAAGCUGAAGACUUUACCAGACAAGCUGAGAGGUGGUGCAUGGCCGUCGU
rnacentral:rRNA from 1 species